rnacentral:rRNA from 1 species
UACGGGGGGAGCAAGCGUUGUUCGGAUUUACUGGGACGUAAAGGGCGCGUAGGCGGCCACCGCAAGUCGACUGUGAAAUCUCCGGGCUUAACCCGGAAAGGUCAGCCGAUACUGCGGGGCUAGAGCGCAGAAGGGGCAACUGGAAUUCUCGGUGUAGCGGUGAAAUGCGUAGAUAUCGAGAGGAACACCUGCGGCGAAGGCGGGUUGCUGGGCUGACACUGACGCUGGAGGCGCGAAAGCUAGGGGAGCGAACGGG